rnacentral:misc_RNA from 1 species
UUAUAAUAAUACCCCCAGUUGCUACUGACGUCCAAGUACCCGAAUACCUGUAGAUUGUCACAUCAACAUGAAAGACAGAUCGAGUGAGUAAUAACCCUAUCAAUUAAAGCUGUACUUUAAUAACAUUACCCGAGGGUUUAAAAAACAAAUUCACGGCUUUUAGCAAAAUAUUUUAAUUAAACCAGCACUACUUGAAUGAAUCAACCAGGUUUUGAGAUUCACAUGAGAGUAUAGUAGUAUAUUUUACAAUAAAAUGCAUAAUUAAAAAGUACUACAAGCAUGGCAGACGGUCUGAUUGUUAUAUAGAGGGGUCAGUGUCAUAGGUUACUUCGGCUCAAGAACAUUUCGUCCCACACCAAAAGUCAAUUUUGCUUAACAAAAAUGGCUCCAUUGCCUUGUGAUUUUUCUCUUUAGAGUUUAGACUAUCUUUUAAAUUAAAGAUCUUGUCAUCAUUUUAUUGUCAUCUUGUACUGAGAGUAUUUUUUUUCUUCUUAUUAUUAUAUUCAAAGUCUUAAUUCGCUGAUCGGAUAGACAUAAGCUUGCAGUACACAUUCUACAGUAGUUCACCGACAUCACAACUCUGUCUGGCCAACCUAUCGCUGAACAGUGUAUAUCAUUAAAUGAAGAAAAAAAUGAAAUGUGUUUCUGUCUUUACUAAAGACUAACCAUUCUAACCUUUAAACUAAUACGUUCUUUAUGGCUGUGUAUAUUUUUAUGCUUGUUAUUGAAUGCAAAUUUGUAACUUAAUCUUUAAUUUUGUUAUAGUUUCUUUUGCGGAGAGAAAGAAAGUAAGGAAAUAAAACAAAGGGGUUGGCAAAAGGAUUUGUCAGAGAGUAGACGGGUUUGCGAUAUCAGCUUCCAAAGGGAGUUAAUUGUAUAUUGUGACUAUAUUACAUGUGCAAAAGUUUUAAGUGUUCAAGAAAUAAACAUAUCGGCAAGGCUAACCAGCGUUCUUAACUAAUGAAAAUAUGAUUGGCAAAUGCUUUCGCAGUUGUUCGUCUUGCGAUGAUCCAAGAAUUUCACCUCUAGCACCGCAAUUCGGAUGCCCCCAUCUGUCCCUAAUAAAUAUACGUCCUGUUCCGAAAACAAGCAAAUAUAGAACCGAGAUCGUCUUCGAUUUUUCUAUGCAGUCUGUCGAGCCUGCUUUCAAUACUCUUCAAAAAAAUACUCAAUUUCUUCGAAGUAAUCGUUCCGGCCGCCCAUAACGCUCAUCGAAGAUUUUUUGUUGUUGAUCUUGGAAGGGAGAGUGCUUCCACCUCAAGGCGAUUUCGCACUAUGGGGGAGGGGGGGGCCAGGGAUUACCACGUACUCUGAACUUAUAUAGGCCCUAUCGGGGGGGGAGAGUACUCUUACCAACCAAGGGCCAUAACCCCUAAUAAUGGCACGUGACUUUUAGCCAAUGGUGUACUACGUGAUCGGAACUGCGCGCCAUUUGCAAAGUUAUGUUUCUACACUUUUCGCAACAGGAAUUAUAAUUAAGCUUCUUCAGCCGUCAAUUCCAAUACUGAUACAUGUGUUUGACUCUUCAAUAACAGUCGUGUUGGCACAGCUGUAGCUAUAGGAGCGAAAGUUUUUGGGUUCAACAUUAUAUUUUACGAUCCUUACCUUGGAGAUGGCAUAGAAAAGUCACUUGGAAUCACUCGUGUGUACACUCUGCAAGAGCUACUUUUCCAAAGUGAUUGUGUUACACUUCACUGCGAUCUUAAUGAACAUAAUCAUCAUCUAAUCAACGACUACACAAUCAAACAGAUGAGACCAGGAGCAUUCCUGAUCAACACCGCUCAGGGAGGACUUGUCGAUGAGCAUGCUUUGGCUGCAGCACUCAAAGAUGGCCGCAUUUGUGCAGCCGCUUUGGAUGUUCAAGAAAAUGAACCAUUUAGCCUCGCCACAAGUCCAUUGAAAGAUUGUCCAAACCUCCUGAUCACCCCUCAUUCAGCCUUCUAUAGUGAACAAAGUGUUUCGGAAUUGAGAGAAAUGGCUGCAGGAGAAGUACGGCGUGCGAUCCUUGGCCGAAUCCCAGACAGCCUACGCAACUUUGUCAACAAGGAAUAUUUUACUCAAACCACAAUUCUUUGGUAACCAUGGUAAAAAUAAAAAAACCUCAUGUCCUGGAAAUUUGUGUUGGUGCAGCAUUUGAAAGGAGCUUGUUGUGGCCGCCUGCAUACAGUGAGCAGAUGAAUAUGUGAAAACAAUUGUAUUGGGCAAAAUGAACACAUAAAAUAUUGCUUCAGUAUAUAGCUGAUAGUGUAAUUCUAGUUUGUUUUUUGUUUUUUUCUUCUUCAUUGGGGAAAGAAUAUUCAUAAUAAAUAUAACUGGAAGCUAAAUCAUUACCUGUCUCCACUUGAAAUAUGAAAGAUCAGACAAAUUGAAACCUGUAUGUGUUUUGAAGAGGUACAGAUCAACACAGCAAGUCCAUUACCAUGACUGUGUGUCUGCUUUGGCAAUGACUUAAAAUUUAUUUAGAUGGUUUGUGGCUUUCUGUUUUAUAUUGUUUUAUGACAUACUAAUUGUGAACAUUAAAGACUAAUUCAGAUUAUAAAUAGUGGUUUGGUUCGCUAUGUACAUUCAUUGCUCCUGCUAAAGACUUCUAUGGGACUAAAAAAAAAAUCAACUUUUUUUCUUUUUGUAUGGAAGUUUGAUCAUCAGUUACAUUGUUUGCAAUAUAUAUAUAUACAUGAGGGUGAUGCUCACUCAGCAUGGCUGGUCAUUAUUGAUUUUAGAAGAAGGUAGAUAAACUGAAGAAGCAAUUUUCAAAAGUACACUAAAUGAACCUUUUUAUAUAUAUAUACCACAAAGAAUUAAUACAGUGAUUGCAGCAUGAGAACUGAGUAGUUGCAUACAAAUGACCUUGUGCCAUAGGACUUACCAAGAAAAUAUCUCUGUGGAUGGGAAAAGAAACACUAAACUUUACUCAAUGUAUGCGUCUCAUUCACGUUCAUGUAACCAAGCCUGCUCAUUCGAAGCACGCAGAUAAUCGCAAAAUUUGUAUAGCGCAUGCUCAUACUCGUAAGGAGCAUACUUGAAGAGCUCCAUGUGGGGCAACUGUUCAGAUUUUAUGAAUAUAAAUUCCAGUUCCUCCACCACUGUCACCAGCUGAACUUUUGGGACUACUAGCCCAUGGUUGGCAUGAAGUAUACUUGCUUAACAGUAGGGUCUCUUAUUGUUCCCUCGCGUUGCCGUAAUCAUUUCUUCACAUUCAGCACACAUUUUCCGUUGUAUCUUCUUGGUGGUAUAAACAGCAAUGUAAGUCACAAUAUUUUGUGCAGGAACUGAUUUCCUCGGCAGAAUUAAUGAAAGCAAACUGGGAGAUUUUGCAUAUUUCGAGUUCCCCGCGUCUUGCAUCAGAAGUCGCCAGAGAUGUGUGCGCGGGCUGAGUACUGAAGUGUAGGGUCAAGAAAAAGUGAUCUCGAGUCCAUCCACCAUCACCUGGCGCACAAAGAAUCGAAAUUGUGAUAACUUGGGUUAUCUCACUGCCCUCCUUUUCCUCCUAUUACAGAAAAAAGGUUUUCUAUAAAGUCUGUUAGUGUGGAGAAAUUUAACCUCAUUCGUUUUAAGAUCGUCCCGAAGUUAAAAUCAUAGUGAUUUUCCAUCUCAUAUAUGAAAGUGGUUUUGAUGCAUUGCUCUGAAGCCAUGUAAGUUGCGUGCAAGAACUGGACGUUUCUAGGAUGGCAUGACAUCGUUUGGCUGCUACGCUUGCUGUUGAACGCAUUAAACAGUUGAUCCACGCGUUUAACACAAAAAGUACUCUUACCAACCAAGGGCCAUAACCCCUAAUAAUGGCACGUGAUCGGAACUGCGCGCCAUUUGCAAAGUUAUGUUUCUAAACUUUUCGCAACAGGAAUUAUAAUUAAGCUUCUUCAGCCGUCAGUUCCAAUACUGAUACAUGUGUUGGACUCUUCAAUAACAUUAGCUUAAAGCACGUAGUCAGGGGAAUACUGUCUGUGCUAUUUUCAACUGAAUUAGCCCGGUGUUACAACUUGAAUGAUCUGAAGGGACUGAAGAACCACCCCUUUAUUUUACGAACAGUUAAGGCAUCUGUCCUUAAUUGAAGUUGGACAAGGACUCAGAAGACCCAGAAUCUGUCCUUAAUUGAAGUUGGACAAGGACUCAGAAGACCCAGAAUCUUUCCUUAAUUGAAGUUGGACAAGGACUCCGAAGACCCAGCAUCUGUCCUUAAUUGAAGUUGGACAAGGACUGAGAAGACCC